rnacentral:tRNA from 1 species
GGUCUCGUAGUGUAGCGUUUAACCCGCCUGCCUGUCACGCAGGAGAUCGCGGGUUCGAUUCCCGUCGAGACCGCCA